CGAUGGCGAUUUGAAUCGAUUUCUGACCAGUUGGCGAGUUAUUCCCCACACAAACCACACUCACUGAUCAAGUGAGCUACAGAUCACCGUAUUACACUAUCUAGGACCAAUUCGCGAGUUCGGCAGGCACCGCCAGUACCUGAGGACCAUUCUGGUGACCCAGGAAUCCAAGGCAUAUCAAGGUUGCACGCUGCAACCUCGUCGUUCUCUUCAACCAUCACCAAUACAUCGCAUG
rnacentral:lncRNA from 1 species